rnacentral:tRNA from 1 species
ACCUGGGUGGCUCAGUUGAUUUAGUGUCUGACUUAGGCUCAGGUCAUGAUCUCACAGUUCGUGGGUUCGAGCCCCACAUCAGGCU